rnacentral:rRNA from 1 species
GCUUACGGCGAUACCACCCUGAGAACGCCCGAUCUCGUCUGAUCUUGGAAGCUAAGCAGGGUCGGGUCUGGUUAGUACUUGGAUGGGAGACCGCCUGGGGAUACCAGGUGCUGUAAGCU